CCUACGGGGGGCAGCAGUGAGGAAUAUUGGUCAAUGGACGCAAGUCUGAACCAGCCAUGCCGCGUGCAGGAUGACGGCUCUAUGAGUUGUAAACUGCUUUUGUACGAGGGUAAACCGCGAUACGUGUAGCGGGUUGAAAGUAUCGUACGAAUAAGGAUCGGCUAACUCCGUGCCAGCAGCCGCGGUAAUACGGAGGAUCCGAGCGUUAUCCGGAUUUAUUGGGUUUAAAGGGUGCGUAGGCGGUUUGAUAAGUUAGAGGUGAAAUUUCGGGGCUCAACCCCGAAACUGCAUCUGAUACUGUCAGACUAGAGUACAGUUGCGGUAGGCGGAAUGCAUGGUGUAGCGGUGAAAUGCUUAGAGAUCACGCAGAACACUGAUUGCGAAGGCAGCUUACUAAACUGUAUCUGACGUUGAGGCACGAAAGCGUGGGUAGCAAACAGGAUUAGAUACCCCAGUAGUC
rnacentral:rRNA from 1 species